AGCGAACGCUGGCGGCAGGCUUAACACAUGCAAGUCGAGCGGGCCCUUCGGGGUCGGCGGCAGACGGGUGAGUAACACGUGGGAACGUACCCUUUGGUUCGGAAUAACGCUGGGAAACUAGCGCUAAUACCGGAUACGCCCUUUUGGGGAAAGGCUUGCUGCCGAAGGAUCGGCCCGCGUCUGAUUAGCUAGUUGGUGGGGUAAUGGCCUACCAAGGCGACGAUCAGUAGCUGGUCUGAGAGGAUGAUCAGCCACACUGGGACUGAGACACGGCCCAGACUCCUACGGGAGGCAGCAGUGGGGAAUAUUGGACAAUGGGCGCAAGCCUGAUCCAGCCAUGCCGCGUGAGUGAUGAAGGCCUUAGGGUUGUAAAGCUCUUUUGUCCGGGACGAUAAUGACGGUACCGGAAGAAUAAGCCCCGGCUAACUUCGUG
rnacentral:rRNA from 1 species